CUUUUAAACCGCUACUCUCUCACUCAUCCAGGCUACACUUUAUAUCACAGAAAUAAAAUGUCCCAGUACAUUUACAUGCCUUUUCUCCUAAAAGAUUUGUCGUCCUAGCGGUAUUCUUUUCCCUGCUUAUUUUAAAUUCGGAGUGCACUGUUAUUCACUCAAGAAUUUCUUAAAAGGUCAUAAGGACAGGAAGAGAAUUUUAAGAGAAAUGCACGCUUCUAAUAGCUUGUCAGAAACAACAAAAGCUUUCUAACUCUGAAGACUGGUAAAUUUAGGCUGUGAGAUGUACCAUGAAUUCGAAAAUCAACUCCUCAUGCUGGGAGCCGAUUGCCCCAAAUUCUUUCAAGUGAGAAGACAGGGACCGUUAGCUGAAAUGCCGCUGUUGAGUUUAGUGGUGUGAGCGUGCAUAAGGAUACAGAGCACAAGUUCCCAAAGUAAAACAACUCCCCACUCUGCCUAUCCCACUCUGCCAAUCCAAGAGACCAGGACAUCUGGCAUCACUCUUGAAAUCUAAAGAACUGACAAGAAGAAGGAAGGAAAGAAAACAAGAUUUCUGAAAUGGAGACGACAGUCUGGGAGAGAAGAAACAAGAUUUUUUUAUUGUGAUAAAAGAUCUUUAGUUAAAGAUUUUGUUUUUAUUGUAUGUGUGUUUGUGGGAGAGAGACCUAAGCUACCUGCUAUGGACUGAAUGUUUGCGUCCCCCCAAAAAUUCAUAUGUGGAAGACUAAUCCCCAAAUUGAUAGUAUUGGUAUUAGGAGAUGGGGCCUUUGGGAGGUAAUUAGGUCAUGAGGAUGGAGCCCUCAUGAAUGGGAUUAGUGCCCUUACAAGAAGAGACAAGAGAACUUGUUCUUUGCCAUGUGAGACUAAGACAAGAAGAUAGCCAUCUGCAAGCCAUGAAGGGAGUCUUCACAAGACCCUGGAUCUACCAACACCUUGAUCGUGGACCUCCCAGCCUUCGUAACUGUGCAAAUAAAUGUUUUUGUUUAAGUCACCAAGUCUGUGGUAUUCUGUUAUAUGAGCCUUAACUAUAGCACUACCUCAGGAGUUACUGUAGUGGUGGUUGUCUUUUACCCCAACUUUGGCAAAGGGGCCAUGCUGUAAUCUGUUCUUGUACUAGAAGACUAUUAGGAUUUCCAGGAAAUCAUUAAAGUUUUGCUACAACCAUG
ensembl:lncRNA